rnacentral:rRNA from 1 species
AUUGAACGCUGGCGGCAGGCCUAACACAUGCAAGUCGAGCGGGGUUUUCGGACCUAGCGGCGGACGGGUGAGUAAUGCGUAGGAAGCUGCCCGAUAGAGGGGGAUACCAGUUGGAAACGACUGUUAAUACCGCAUAAUGUCUACGGACCAAAGUGUGGGACCUUCGGGCCACAUGCUAUCGGAUGCGCCUACGUGGGAUUAGCUAGUUGGUGAGGUAAUGGCUCACCAAGGCGACGAUCUCUAGCUGGUUUGAGAGGAUGAUCAGCCACACCGGAACUGAAACACGGUCCAUACUCCUACGGGAGGCAGCAGUGGGGAAUAUUGGACAAUGGGCGCAAGCCUGAUCCGGCCAUGCCGCGUGUGUGAAGAAGGCCUUCGGGUUGUAAAGCACUUUCAGCGAGGAGGAAGGGUGGUGUGUUAAUAGCACAUCAUUUUGACGUUACUCGCAGAAGAAGCACCGGCUAACUCUGUGCCAGCCGCCGCGGUAA